GACGAACCGUGCGAACGUUGUUCGGAAUCACUGGGCUUAAAGGGCGCGUAGGCGGGCUUCCAGGCCCGCGGUGAAAUCCCCCGGCUCAACCGGGGAAGUGCCGCGGGGACCGGGAGUCUGGAGUGAGAUAGGGGCGUGCGGAACUGUGGGUGGAGCGGUGAAAUGCGUUGAUAUCCACAGGAACUCCGGUGGCGAAGGCGGCACGCUGGAUCUCUACUGACGCUGAGGCGCGAAAGCCAGGGGAGCGAACGGGAUUAGAAACCCCCGUAGUCC
rnacentral:rRNA from 1 species